rnacentral:misc_RNA from 1 species
CCAUCAUUCGAAGCCCUAAUUCUCGAGCUUCCAACGAUCCUGGUUCUCGAUUUAUCGGCGAAUAGGGAUUGUUCCAGAGGUAAAAACAGGGGUUUCCCAGUUUUCUGGAAAUGAGCAUAGCGUGUGGUUGCGCGUGAGCAAGCGCCGAGCUUGGACGCCAUUUUGGUUUGAAAGAAACACGGACGUCGUGUGAUCAGCGAGAUAUGGGACUUGGAAGUGAGCGAGCGGCGGUGGAUUUUAAUUUAUUUUCUUUUCUGGAGUUAGCUCUCGAAGUUAGCGCUUGAUUGAGUGAAGCGUAAUCUAUCGUUUCGAUUUUCUCUUUUUUUUUCUUCUCUCUUCUUUUUGUUUUUUUUUAGAAAGUGAAAGAG